rnacentral:misc_RNA from 1 species
AACGCACAUUGCGCCCCUUGGUAUUCCAGGGGGCAUGCCUGUUUGAGCGUCAUUUCCUUCUCAAAGAACUCUUCUUUGGUAGUGAGUGACACUCUUUCUAGAGUUAACUUGAAAUUGCUAGCCAUAUAAUAGCUGUUGAUUGCUGACUUUGGACGGAGCGAUUUGUCCAGUCUGCUGAUACCGAUUGUCGUAUUAGGUUUUACCAACUUCGACGGACGUAGUGUUAGUGGGCGUUACUACGACUCUUUGCGAAACCCAAUGGAAAGCGAGCCGACGCAUUGGCGAACAAUACUCUUUAAGUUUGACCUCAAAUCAGGUAGGAAUACCCGCUGAACUUAA